rnacentral:rRNA from 1 species
AGUGAACGCUGGCGGUAGGCCUAACACAUGCAAGUCGAACGGCAGCACAGUAAGAGCUUGCUCUUACGGGUGGCGAGUGGCGGACGGGUGAGGAAUACAUCGGAAUCUACUUUUUCGUGGGGGAUAACGUAGGGAAACUUACGCUAAUACCGCAUACGACCUACGGGUGAAAGCAGGGGAUCUUCGGACCUUGCGCGAUUGAAUGAGCCGAUGUCGGAUUAGCUAGUUGGCGGGGUAAAGGCCCACCAAGGCGGCGAUCCGUAGCUGGUCUGAGAGGAUGAUCAGCCACACUGGAACUGAGACACGGUCCAGACUCCUACGGGAGGCAGCAGUGGGGAAUAUUGGACAAUGGGCGCAAGCCUUAUCCAGCCAUACCGCGUGGGUGAAGAAGGCCUUCGGGUUGUAAAGCCCUUUUGUUGGGAAAGAAAAGCAGCAGGUUAAUACCCCGCUGUUCUGACGGUACCCAAAGAAUAAGCACCGGCUAACUUCGUG